GACGAACGCUGGCGGCGUGCUUAACACAUGCCAGUCGAACGGAAAGGCCCUGCUUUUGUGGGGUGCUCGAGUGGCGAACGGGUGAGUAACACGUGAGUAACCUGCCCUUGACUUUGGGAUAACUUCAGGAAACUGGGGCUCAUACCGGAUAGGAGCUCCUGCUGCAUGGUGGUGGUUGGAAAGUUUCGGCGGUUGGGGAUGGACUCGCGGCUUAUCAGCUUGUUGGUGGGGUAGUGGCUUACCAAGGCUUUGACGGGUAGCCGGCCUGAGAGGGUGACCGGCCACAUUGGGACUGAGAUACGGCCCAGACUCCUACGGGAGGCAGCAGUGGGGAAUAUUGCACAAUGGGCGGAAGCCUGAUGCAGCAACGCCGCGUGCGGGAUGACGGCCUUCGGGUUGUAAACCGCUUUCGCCUGUGACGAAGCGUGAGUGACGGUAAUGGGUAAAGAAGCACCGGCUAACUACGUG
rnacentral:rRNA from 1 species